UAUUCAAGGCCAGAUAUGGAUUUUUUUCCACUCAGUCUGUGCUCGGGCAUGAUCAGAAAGAUCAGAAAGCCGGACUGUUGGGUGGGGUGGAGGGGGGGGGGGGUUUCGAUGAGGUCAGCUAUCCCUGACACGGCUUGGCUCUGAGGAUGGGGAAACGGUGAUUACUCUUCGUCCCGGUUUCCACUAAUGGCUGCUGAUUUCAUCCUCUCUGUCUUCGGAUUCUAGUUUUCUGAGCGCAGUUUUUGAGUUUGCGGUUGCCGUUACAGCUCCCGGCCAGCUUGAGAUGGGUGCCGGUGUUUCAGGUGUCAAGGACGUGGGCUGGUGACUUGAAAGCUGCCGGUUGAAGCCCCACUUGGGAUGGAGGAUCCUGAGGCUGAAUGCUGCUCAGGUUAAAUGGAUUACAGCCUGCAGGCCUGUCCUUAGAAGUAGAAGCAUCUAAUUAGUGUCUGAGACAUAGACCUGGAUGUGUAGCAAACGACAGCGAGAAGGAGAUCUGCUCUCGUAUGGGGGCCCAGAAAUCACUAUCUACUGGGGAAAAAAUGAUGCAUCAUAUCGAUUCAGGAAGCUCAGAAGAGUAUACCGUUCGUUUCUUGCCCGUAUCUUCAAAGACGAGAUGAGGACAUGCUGGGGUGGCUCCUGUCCGUUUGACGUAAGCGUCUCCCACACGUCUCAAAUAGCUCACGCUACUGUGGCAUGAGAGGGGUCCGGGUAAGGAAACACCCCCUGUUUGGCCCACUUAAUGGCAUCGUGGUGGACUGUUUCCACCCAUCGCUUGAUUAAAAACCAACGUUAAGGGGGAACAUAUGCCCACGUCGAUUCAGACGAGCAUUUCGGCGAAUGCGACGAGGUCCUUUCCUGUCACCAAAGCCAAUUACUGGUGCGAGGAGUGAUUUAAGAUCCGGGUUUUUUUUCGAGUGGGAGAUUUAAUUGGCGCGUCUAAGGACGGCUUCAUUUAGCCACCAUCAAAGCUUGAGGACUGUCAGCUUUGGGGUCUGUACAUAGGUCUGGUCAUUUGUUUUACAAUUAAGCUAAAGCUGCUUGUUUGACCAGCUGGAGCAAAUUAGGGUGCAGGAGGACAGGAUUUACAUGUGGAAAUGCCGCUUCAUGUGUUCGAUUCUCAGAGGCAUCUGUCGGCAAAACACCCCAAAACAAUGAUGGAGGGCCAAUGAGAUGGUUGCUAUUUGGCUGUGAGCAUGCAAGCCAAGCUCUUAGCUGUUAGCAAAUACGUUUAAUUCCAAGCCCCAAGUCCACUACACAGAUUUUACAGCUAAUCUCUGAUGCUGGGCGUGACCACAAUUAAUAAAACACUUUAAUACAUUUUAAUUGGGGUUAAUGGAAAUAAAAUACAUAUGCAGCAAAUAAAUCAAUUAAAAAACAAUUAGACUGUCCACACCAAACGUGUCUGUUGAGAAUUACUGUCUACCAGACCUCAAAAACAAACUCGAUCUUCACCUGCAUAUAAAACAAUUAACAAACGAUAUAUUUAUGGAAAAACACACAUGGCAGAGUAAACGUGGCGCUGGCUUGAAGAGUGGAUCUGAUUUUCGAAGGACGACGCUACAGCAAAACAGUGAGCGCUGAGCUAAACACACAUCUGCGCUCCCCAAGCAUCCGUGGGCGUUUCCUGCUUUCAGAAGAGCUGCUGCUGGCGUCUAUCAGAUCAUCUUGGUUGCUGAGUAAAACUGGUAGGAGGGACACCAGGAAGAGAGGCCUUUCCGAGCCGCGCGGGUCCUGCCCGGCUUCCUGAAACACUCAGCCCUCACCGCAGGUACAUUUACCACAUAUCAUUAAAUGGCUGGUUUCCUCGAGCUACUGAAACACCUGAUUUAAAUGAAACACAAUUGGAUUCCGGUAACUAAUAAAAAAUGUCUGCUUGGGAUCUCAGUGACAUGGCUUUCAGGGUUAAGGUAUUCAGGCUUCCAUGCUGGUGCCUGUGGAAUCUCGCGGCAUCUUUAGCUUUCAAUGGGUUCUGCUGUGUCAUUCAAUCUAGCUCCCGCUGUCCAGGUUGGGUCACAUCGGCUUGUCCAUGCUAACAGGGUACAGCAUCCUAAAGGAGGAUGAGCAGGGCAACUCCACCUAUGCACUUGCCACAGACUAAGGGGAAUCCCCUAAUAUACACAUAAUAUACCAUAAUAUACCAUAAUAUACCAUAAUAUACCAUAACCAGGUGCAAAAAACCUGAACAGAGAGAAAUCACUUUCUAACAGUUAUUCUGCUUUUCAUGUACUGGGUUAUGGAUGGAUGGAUGGACACACGGAUGAAUGGAUGGAUGACAAACAGGACUGAUGGAUAAAUAAAUGGAUUGUCGAACAGAUGGAUGAAUGAUGGACGGAUGGAAGGAUGGAUGAACAAACAGAUAAGUGGAUGGAUGGAUGGAUAGAUGAAUGAACCAAAGGACUGAUGGGUAAACAGAUGGAUUAUUGAACAGAUGGAUAGAUGGAUGGAUGGAUGGACAAAUUUUCUAUUUUUUUAGCUAUGAUGUCCCCCUCAAUGAUGACAUAUCCUCUGACUUAUUUUUUUAUCUUCAGGAAUUUCCUGGAAGAAAAUAAACGAUAGCUGGUUGACUUAAUCAGAUCCGCCCUUUACUGGAAAUCUGCAAGAGCAGCACAAAUGAGUUAAUUCUGUACACAGUUCACACACAUUUUCCAUAGAGGGACCUCUGCUACAACAGGCAAACCACCACAUCUCUAAACUUCAUGCAACAGAAAGUGAGUAAUACAUUUUUUAAAAUGGCAUUUUAAAAAGGAUAAUUAAGCACUGAGGUAUUGAACAGUGGCUGAAUUCAGCCAGCCAGUCACUGGGAAGAGAUUCCAGCAUCUUCACUUCAUCUCCCCUCGUCAUCAGCCUUUGCUCCACUCAAAAUGCUGUUGGUUCACACAAGAGUUCUUUCAUAAUCACAGCUGCUGCUUCAUUUGCCAUCGACGGUUUGUUUUUACACCAAAAGUCUUCCUCUCACCUAAAUAGCACUACUGUGAACAGCUGUCCCAUCCCGCAUAUAACCACACAAAACUGCUCCGAGAGACAUCUGUUCUCUCCAUUUAUUUUUAGAUCGUUUCUGUCUUGUAUCAAAGCAAUUUUGUGUUCUUCCUUGGUAAGGUCACAAACUGUAAACAUUUAUGUGAUGUUUGCCUAAUGAUAUAAUGAAGCCUGUGACCUUUGAACCGCAGGCCCGCGAUAAUUGAGGCUAAUGAAUCGGCCGGCUCUUACCGGAGGCGAAAGGGGUACACAGUGUCUUCCUUGUGUGUUGAUCCAGACGGCCUUCUGGGAAAUUUCCACAGCCAAUGAUUGAAAAUGGCCAACUGGCAGUGGGGAAAUGGGCAUCCCGUAGGAAAUGGGCCCGGCCUUGUUAUCGGCAAGUCGAUAAGAUAUCAAAUAAAGCGAAAGGAUAAAAAAGAGUGAAAUCUAGCUAGCACUGGUGACGUAAAUACCGGCCACAUCGUUGACCCAUAAACAACAUUUACAGCUCAAGGUGGACUGGGUCCGCUCGGGAUAACCUGACCUGCCGUUGUGACCCCAGCAUUGUUUUUAUAGGGUUUUUUUUGGAAGUUUUGCAUAUGCUAGUUUGGGUAUCACUUCACUCUGGUUUUUAAAUGACAUAAAAGUCCCCAAUGUGCCGAUGCAGAAAGGUCUUUUUGACUGUACAUCGCAUUGAAGAGCAUCUGGCUCCACGCCGAGCAUCGCCACGUCCCGACUAACAGAGACACAAGGGGAAGCACACGACCACAUACCUGUAUGUCCUGCACGGUCAUUUCUAAACCCAACUGACACCUAGUCGUUACUUAAAUUACCGAAAAUGAUAAAAAAAGAAGAAGCAGAAGUUUGAAACAAUCAUAUGUAGAAGAUAUAUGAUGCUAUAAUGAUGUAGAAUA